UGGGGAAUAUUGGACAAUGGGCGAAAGCCUGAUCCAGCAAUACCGCGUGUGUGAAGAAGGCCUUCGGGUUGUAAAGCACUUUAAGUUGGGAAGAAAAAACUUUACCUAAUACGUGAAGUCUUGACGGUACCGACAGAAUAAGCACCGGCUAACUCUGUGCCAGCAGCCGCGGUAAUACAGAGGGUGCUAGCGUUAAUCGGAUUUACUGGGCGUAAAGCGUGCGUAGGUGGUUUGAUAAGUCGGUUGUGAAAGCCCCGGGCUCAACCGGGGAAUUGCGGCCGAUACUGUCAGACUCGAAAACGGUAGAGGGAGGUGGAACUCCAGGUGUAGCGGUGAAAUGCGUAGAUAUCUGGAAGAACAUCGAUGGCGAAGGCAGCCUCCUGGGCCUGUUUUGACACUGAGGCACGAAAGCGUGGGUAGCAAACA
rnacentral:rRNA from 1 species